AUUGAACGCUGGCGGCAGGCCUAACACAUGCAAGUCGAGCGAGCGGCGGCCGGGUGAGUAAUGUAUGGGGACUGCCCGAUAGAGGGGGAUAACUACUGGAAACGGUGGCUAAUACCGCAUACUGUGGGAUACCCCCUCGGGGAUUAGCUAGUAGGUAAGGUCAUGGUGUACCUAGGCGACGAUCCCUAGAUGGUCUGAGAGGAUGAUAAGCCAAACUGGGACUGAGACACGGACCAGACGCCUACGGAGGCAGCAGUGGGGAAAAUUGCACAAUGGGCGCAAGCCUGAUGCAGCCAUGCCGCGUGUAUGAAGAAGGCCCUAGGGUUGUAAAGUACUUUCAGUCGGGAGGCGUUACCGACAGAAGAAGCACCGGCUAACUCCGUGCCAGCAGCCGCGGUAAUAC
rnacentral:rRNA from 1 species